UCCCUCUCAGGGUUGCACCUGGAGAGUUUCCAGUACUCUAUCAGUCUUGACUAUGGGAGGGAGAGUCAAGCAGAGGCCCACCCAUUCCUAGCUUGGGCAGUGGCUAGCGAGUGGAAGGCAAUCUGCUACAAGU